rnacentral:rRNA from 1 species
GACGAACCGUGCGAACGUUAUUCGGAAUCACUGGGCUUAAAGGGUGCGUAGGCGGCGCGGAAAGUUGGGUGUGAAAUCCCUCGGCUUAACCGAGGAACUGCGCCCAAAACUACCGUGCUUGAGGGAGAUAGAGGUGAGCGGAACUUAGGGUGGAGCGGUGAAAUGCGUUGAUAUCCUAAGGAACACCGGUGGCGAAAGCGGCUCACUGGAUCUCUUCUGACGCUGAUGCACGAAAGCUAGGGUAGCGAACGGG